AUUGAACGCUGGCGGCAGGCUUAACACAUGCAAGUCGAACGAGUGGCGGACGGGUGAGUAAUGCUUGGGCAUCUAGCUUAUGGAGGGGGAUAACUACGGGAAACCGUAGCUAAUACCGCGUACCAUAGGAUGAGCCCAAGUGGGAGUAGGUAGUUGGUGAGGUAAAGGCUCACUAAGCCGACUAUCUCUAGCUGGUCUGAGGGGAUGACCGGCCAACCUGGGACUGAGAAACGGCCCGAACUCCUACGGGAGGAAGCAGUGGGGAAUAUUGGGCAAUGGGGGCAACCUGACGCAGCCAUGCCGCGUGGGUGAAGCAGGCCUUCGGGUUGUAAAGUUCUUUCGGUAGCGAGGCGUUAACUACAGAGGAAGCACCGGCUAACUCCGUGCCAGCAGCCGCGGUAAUAC
rnacentral:rRNA from 1 species